CGGGGUCAGAUUUGUGGCUUGAGAGUAGAGCGACUCAUUCAUGCUCCAGAUGCUUUAGGAUUUGUCUACACCUGUGCAAAGAGGCAGCAAUUUGCCUUAUUUCGGACACAAUACUUCAUUGGCUGUUAAAAGUGCAUCCACAAUGCCCACUGGAAUAUCAAUAGAAUUUGAUAACUCAAAAGCUGUGUUCUUUUCGGGACAGUCGGUAACAGGACGAGUUAGGGUUACCUGCGACAAACCAAAGUACUGUCGAGCAAUUGAGGUAGAGUUUCAAGGGUAUGGCAAAGUCCACUGGACAGAAAGAAGCAAAACUCAGAGGAAUGGCAAACAAAGAACAAAGACUGUCCAUUUUAAAAGUAAUGAGAGUUAUUACUUAAUGUCGUACAUCGUGUGGGGUAAUGGCACCACAGAGUCAGAGCUACCCCCAGGUACACACCUCUUCAAUUUCUCAUUCCUCCUUCCCCAUGGAAUUCCUUCGUCCUUUGAAUCACACAUCGGCAAAGUGCGUCACCAGUGCAAGGCGAAGAUGGAUAUACCGUGGAAGACGGAUAAGGUUUCGGUGAAAGCUUUCUCUGUCAACACCCUGUAUGAUCUGAACAUGGACCCUGAGGCAAAGGUGCCAAUAGAGUGUAGCAAACACGACUAUGCUUGCUGCCUCUUUUGCCGAAGUGGCCCAAUGUCCCUGGUGCUCCGCAUUGAUCGCUCGGGUUUUGUUCCUGGGGAAAAUAUUAUCGUUAAUGCUGAGUGUUCCAACAUGACCAAUGUCAAGAUUAACUACACAAAAGCAGUUGUGCAUCAGACCAUAACAUACCAUGCUGAAGGGAGAAAGAAGAAAGACCAUCGGAAGGUUGCUGAGCUCAAGCGCUUGGAAAUUCCACCUGGAGAAGAUGAUAACUGGAACAACGUUGAGAUGUUGAUUCCAGCACUGCCUCCCUCUCACCUACAGUUCUGCAACCUGAUUGACAUUGAUUACGAACUGAAGUUUGAAAUGUCCCCAUCUGGCUGCCACAUGGACCUAGAACACACAGCUCCUGUAAAGAUUGGCUCCAUACCUCUAGUGCAAUACUUUAGCAACUUUGUUCAAGGACCACCCACUAACUCAGCCCAACUCACGAAUCUGGCUUCAGUUCAGCCUCCAGUGCCUGCUUAUGCCCCUCCUGGACAGCCCCCAUUGCCAAAUUAUUCUCCAGCACCAGGACAGCACCCAGGGGUUGGCUGUGCUGCUAUACCAGGUCAACAGCCAAUGCCAGGUCAACCUCCGAUGAUGAAUCCCCCUAUAGUACCAUAUCAGCCUCCAAUUCCAGGUCAAGAACCUAUGCCUGGUCAACCACCAGUGCCAGGGGAAUCACAAAUGCCAGGUCAGCCUCCAGUGCCUGGUACUGGGCCAGGUCAGUCUCCAGUGUUGGGCUUUGCUCCAUCCAUACCAGGUCAGCAAGCAGUCCAGAUGCCCUCCAACAAUCCAGCCCAGCCUAGCAUAGCAGUGUCCAAUGUGGAUCAGAAUACUUCACCAUACAACCCUAACUUCCAGCCAGCAUCUUACCCCAUACCAGGGUCACCAAGAUUUCCAGGAGUCCUACAUUAUCCUCAAAUGCCCUUACCAACAUACAACCAGUGUAUGUUUGGAACGACCAGCAUUGCGGAGAUUGAUAGUGAUGUUGAUGAUGGCCAGAAUCAUAAUGAAAUUGGAUUUGCACCUCAUUAUAUAUCGUAUAGUCUUGUAAACUCCAAGAGGCUCCAGUCAGCUGCUUCUGUGGGUGAUACCGGAGGAGGCAUGGAUGGCAUAACCAGUGGAGUGAGUGACCUACAUAUUCGUCGUGAUAGUGGGAGCAGUGGUUCUAGUGGAGACCAUUACCGUGGAGGUUACCAGGCACAUAUCUGACUUCAGAAGAACACGAUAAGGGAAUAGCAUUCCUUUCUUUGGGAGUAUGGGAUGCACCACUCAUUGUCCACCAUCAAGAGCAUCACUCUAACUCAGACUCAGACAGCGAGAGACCAGCAGAGGCAGCACUCACUAAAGAUACUGGCUUCAAUACCAAGGACACUGAGACCAACACCAAUGACAGUGAUAAAGAUACUGAUGCCAACAAGGAUACUGGCAACAAUACUAGGGAUGGUGAUGCCAAGGAGGAGGAACCUAAGACUGAGGAGAAAGUAGAAGAUGCUGCAGAACCUGAGGAGAGCAAAGAAUAAUGUCAUGGAGAAUUGUUAUCCCAGGCAGUACCAGCAGGAGGCACUCUUGAUGCUCCUGCUUGUUCUUAAAGAGACAUUAUCCUUUUUUUGUAUGCUCAGUCAUCUCACAAGGUGCACCAUUUUCUGCCUUCUGGUCUAGUUUGAUGUCCAGCCACUUUGUAAAACACUUCAUCUCAAACAAACAUGAUAGCUUCCUCUUUAUUGGUGUCAUAAAUCCUGAUUUUAUAUACCCACACUUUCCAUUUAUAGUAGACAAUAUUGGCUCAUAGAUGUAGCUGGGAAGAAUUUGUUGUAGGGUAAUGGUAAUGACUUUGAGUCUGCUGCAGGUGUUUAUGAGGCACCUGAAUGGAAUCAUUACAUUCUACUGACUGUGCCUAGGUUUUCUUAGCCCUGGAUGAAGACUUCAUGGUAAAAUACUGAUGAUGUAGUGUCAUUGAGGUGUAGUAGCACAGGUGUGGCUGGCAGUCAAGAUAAGUUGCAAUAUGUUCAUGCACACAGUGAAAGUCUACUCUAAGUAUGGCUUAAGGAGAAUGGAAUAUACAUGCUUAUCUACAGUUGACAAUGUGACUAUUCCUUUACCUUGGUGAGCAAUAUAUUUUUUUUCUCUCCAAGAAGAAGCAUAGAAGCAAAAGCUUAACAGCACAUGCAAAAGUGAUAUCCAUAUGCUUUAAUGAAAUAUCCUAAUUUAAUAAACCUGGGUUUUACU
rnacentral:misc_RNA from 1 species